AUUCCAGACGGUGGACUUGAAAGGCUUCCUCCACGAUGCCGCGUAUAAAUUCGCGAAGUUCUUCGUUUUUUGUCUUUUCCUUGCGACGACGAGAAACGCAGGAGAAUAAACCACACAUGGCGUUUUCCACGUAUCGGUCAGAAUGAUGACGCGAGCGCGGUGCGCGCUGCCUUUAUAGAGAUAAACGCGCGCGCGCGCAAAGAACGGAGAAUGAAAGCGAAACUGAAAAGCCACCCGUCGCCGCUAGGAGCGCGCGCGCAGCAGCAGAGAGCCGAAACCGAAAACACCCGCGGCCGGCGCAGGGGGCGCUAGGAGCGCGCGCGCGCGCAUGCGCGGACGGGUGGAGCAGAGGGCGCGCGCGCGUCGCCUCUCUCAGUUUCUCUCGGACCGUCGCGGAAGACGGACGUGCGCUCCGCGCGCUCGCUCAGUUGCUGGCUGGAUCUCGUAGGGAGCAGACGUAUGUUCUCCGCGCUCGCUCAGUUUCUGCCUGGAAGUUGCCGCGGGGGAAAAGAGCUAUGAUGGUGGCGCCAUCUGGUGUGAUGCCUUGCAACUAAGUGGCCACCUGUCGUCGAUCUCUGCAACUGCUGGGUGCAAACUACCAACAUGGCGGACGCUGGUCACUCGGGUGUUGCGGAGCGGCUUCUUCGCCGCGGCAUCGUUGAUUUUCGAAUAAAUUGUUUCUCUCUACUCUA